rnacentral:rRNA from 1 species
CAAUAGCGUAUAUUAAAGUUGUUGCAGUUAAAAAGCUCGUAGUUGGAUUUCUGGUGGGAGCGAUCGGUCUGGCGCUUAGCGCGAGUACUUGCAUCGUCUCCGGCCAUCCUUGGGGAGAGUCUGUCUGGCAUUAGGUUGUCGGGCAGAGGAUCCUCAUCGUUUACUGUGAAAAAAUUAGAGUGUUCAAAGCAGGCUUAUGCCGUUGAAUAUGUUAGCAUGGAAUAAUAAGAUAGGACUUUGGUACUAUUUUGUUGGUUUGCGCACCAAAGUAAUGAUUAAUAGGGACAGUUGGGGGUAUUCGUAUUCCGUUGUCAGAGGUGAAAUUCUUGGAUUUACGGAAGACGAACUACUGCGAAAGCAUUUACCAAGGAUGUUUUCAUUAA